UUAACCGUAUUGCACACACACCCACGCACAAGUGUACAAGAUCAACACUGACUGCCUGGCUUUUAUCUAUGAUAGACUUCAACAUAUUAGUGUCUUUUUUCUUUUUCUUUUUUUUAGCAGGGUAGCUUGCCAUGCCAAGGAAGACUCGUGAACCUGCAGAGAAAGUGUCUGCAAGAGGUGGAAGAAGAGAGUCUUCCUAUUUCUGUUUCUGCUCAGAUACCCCGCUCCCACGGCCGCAGCCAAGCGCUUCCCGGUUGUGUGCACAUGAUGCAAAAAAAACACUCUGCCGCGGUCCUUUCCCACCCUCUCCCCCGGGACGAAGCGAGCGCAGCGCAGAGCCUCGUUUCACAAGCGGCGGGCAUGAAAAACCAGGAGCAAAAUCUCCCCUGCUAUCUGAGCCACACAAAUGGACUGCAUCCCCGGGGAGAAGAGGCUGAGUAAUCCCCAGGAAACCCCGCAAGGCCGUCUCUUUCUCUGCCCAUAAGAGAAACCCCUGCUCCCAACUGUCACACAAACCCACCGGCCAGGCACCCGGGCCCGAGCCUCUCCGCGGGCCUCAGGGCCAGAUGGUCAGAGACCUCCUCUUCCCCGGCCCGGCUGGACUCAGCACCCCCGGGAGCCUAAGGAAACCAAGAUCCGCUGAACUGCAGAGCGAGGUAGCGGAGAACGGGCGCUUUGGUGCAAAGCGGCACGGCACAGCUUUAUCUUGCCCAGAUCCGUCCAGCUCUCUGCCCCAGAACAAGGGCGUUUGGACCGAAAGCUUGCAAAGAAGCAUUUUUCCAAGUAUUUGAGUUGGUCUAAUAAAAGAUACUGGCUUGACCCAAAGAA